rnacentral:rRNA from 1 species
AUUGAACGCUGGCGGAAUGCUUUACACAUGCAAGUCGAACGGCAGCACGGACUUCGGUCUGGUGGCGAGUGGCGAACGGGUGAGUAAUGUAUCGGAACGUGCCCAGUCGUGGGGGAUAACGUAGUGAAAAUUACGCUAAUACCGCAUACGAUCUAUGGAUGAAAGCGGGGGAUCGCAAGACCUCGCGCGAUUGGAGCGGCCGAUAUCAGAUUAGAUAGUUGGUGGGGUAAAGGCCCACCAAGCCAACGAUCUGUAGCUGGUCUGAGAGGACGACCAGCCACACUGGAACGGACACGCGGUGCAGACACCUACCGGAGGGAGCAAUGGGGAAUUUUGGACAGUGGGCGCAAGCCUGAUCCAGCCAUUCCGCGUGCAGGAUGAAGGCCCUCGGGUUGUAAACUGCUUUUGUACAGAACGAAAAGGUUUCUACGAAUACUAGGAGCUCAUGACGGUACUGUAAGAAUAAGCACCGGCUAACUACGUGCCAGCCGCCGCGGUAA